rnacentral:lncRNA from 1 species
GAGAGUUGUACAUUUAGCUUGAGUCAUGUUUAAAGCUUGUAUUUAUCACAACGUCGCUUACAAGAGACAGAAAGACAUCGGAAAAUCCACCGCCGCUCAACCUCUGCUCCACCGCUUCUCCUCCGGCCGACGUCAUCGUCAUCGCCAGUAUACUAUAAGUUUUAGCUUUUGAUCUUCAAGAAGGGUAACUUUUUAGGGUUUUAGCAAAGGGUAUUUGUUGGAUAAAGUUGUAUAUCUGUUCGUCUCUAGAAAUUAUGAACAAAAAAAGCAAGAAACCGGAAUCAAAGUUUCAAUCUGUUCGGAAUCUGCUUCGUGAGCGUUGGGAGCUAGCGUCUAUUCUCAAUUUUUUUUGCUCAGGUCUCUAAGGAAAUGUUUGAUAUUUUAGACACGCCUAAAGCAAAGGGCGCAUGUGCCUUCUCUCAUCUCCGUCAACUGUAACAACCAUUUUGUUUGUUACUGUAAUUGCUUUUCUGAUCCAGAUUACCUUGAAAACAAAGAGGGCAAGAACUGCCUAAAGCAAACAUCAUAUGGCCUGUUAUCGGACACCUACACCUUCUAGGUGGAUCAAAACUCCCACAUCAUGUUUAUAUACAUUGUGCAGUUGUAUAAGCAUCAACAACAGCUCCAGUUUUGAAGUGAGAGACAUUAAAAUCAAGGUGAUGGUUCUGUUUUGAGAUUUUAAUUUUACUUGGUUAUAUUAAAUAGCGUAUGUAUCUUGCUAAUUUGAGACGUCGCCUCCUUCGCAGGUUCGUUGAUAGUUUAAGAACUUAUUUAUGUUAGUCGGUUCAUAAGGACUAUUUUAGUUUAAUGAUGUUACUGAAGAAUCUGAAGUUUUAGAUGAGGUGAAUAAGUUAGUGAUUUACAGGUUUAUUGAUUUUUUAAGAACUUAUUUGUUUCCACGGAUCGUUGUUUGUUAGUUUUCUGAUUAGGUUUUUUGAUUGCGGUUAUGUUAGUUAAGUAUUUGUAGGUGCUUAUGAUUAGGUUCAUUUUGAUGAUUUGUUAUUGAUAUUGAAACUGAUUUUUUUUUCUGUUGUUUGUUGAAUUUGCAAGUUCAUUUUGAUGUUUGUUGUUUGUUAAUUUUAUGUUUAUUGUGUGAUUAGGCUCCUCUGAUUGCGGUGUUACUUAAGUAUUUGCAAGUGCUUAUGAAUCAUGAUUGGGUUCAUUUUGAUGAUUAGUUAUUGAUAUUGAAACUGUUUUUUUUCUUCUGCUGUUUAGUAAUCUGCAUAUACAGAUAAAUCGGAUCAUAUUAUGUUUGUUCUGUGAUUAGGCUCUUUGAUUACGCUCAUGUUACUGAGUAACUCUAAGGAAGAAGUAAAGAAUAGGGCGUUUCACAGGUCUAUUGACUAUUUGAGGAAUUAAUCUAUUUUCAAUCGCUUCAUAUUUGUUCAUUUAAUCAAUUUGUUUGUAAGAAUGUCUUUUUUUACUUUUGGUUAUUUGAUCGAUUCUACGUAGGUAGGACAUGUGAUGUGAAUUGAUGUGGCAUGGCAUGCAUCUAACAUUAUGAGUUUUUCCCGAUGAAAUUACAAUUUUCAAUUCAAGGACAUUUUUAUAUAGAAUUGCGUGCCCCACUUGCGGUGUUCAGAUAUAAUGUAUAUUUGCAUGGGCGCUCGGGGGGCAAAAGUGAAAUGGUACUAACUCUAACGUUUUUUUAUUAAUUUCGUGAAAAUAACAUUAAAAGCGACGAAUGGUUAACCAUGCAUCAUGUGGUGACGUUGAUAGCUGAAAGACACAGGGGUACAAGCACCAAACAGUCUCUGUCUCGAUUGUUUGAGUGUUAUGUGUCUUAGGUCCAAGGCCUGAUACAAAACUACAAUCGAGUCGGGGGUCUCACUUGAAGCAGCCUCUCUAUUCCUACGGGGUAGAGGUAAGGUUGUCUAUAUCUACCCUCCUCAGACCAUACCUUAGCUUUGCUAUUGGUAGGAUUUACUGAGUAUGAUGAUGAUGAUAUAUCGAACAAAUGUCGAGACAUUCAUCUACAAUCCGUCAACUGAAGGUUAUUUCACACGUUUUAACCAAAGUUGUUUUUUUUUAAUUUUGUUGCUUUCAUCUUUAUCUCUCAACCUCAAAAAUAAGUUGUUUUAAGGAUGAUUAGAAAUGUAAUAUUUAUUUAAAGUGUGCAUCUGUUAUUAACAGUAAGUAAAAUAAAGAAUUACAAGGUUGUUUAUUUGAAUUGCAAGCAACCUUUAUUACAAGUGGAUUGGUGGGGUGUGAAUUAAUCUUUUCAUUGUGGACAUUAAUUAAGUAUCUUUGAAGGUCUUACUGAGUCGUUGUGAACUAUUUUUUUUCCAGUUUUCCAUUUAACGUUUUUAAUAUACGUUACGUAAGUUUCGAUAUUCACGUCAAGUAUGUGGGUGUUAACGAAACAUGAAGGGUGUAUUGGGUUAAACUAUCGGUGAUCGUGCUGGAAUCCGCAGCGCAUCGCGCGCGAGACUAUAUCUAGUUUAAUAAAAUACUUAUCCUUGCAGAAACAUACAAAAAAGAAACAUACCUUUUUUUUUACGACAAUAUUUUUUUAAUUUCAAUCGUUUGUAAGACUUGAAUUUAAAACUUUGCCUUUUAAAAGGUUUUGUCUUUACUAAUGAACCACCACCCAGUUGAUAAAAAAGGAACGUACCUAUCAUU